UACGUAGGCAGCGAGCGUUGUUCGGAGUUACUGGACGUAAAGCGUGCGUAGGCGGUGUUCCAAGUCUGUUGUGAAAUCUCCCGGCUUAACUGGGAGGGUGCGGCGGAAACUGGAACGCUGGAGUAUGGGAGAGGUAAGCGGAAUUCCCGGUGUAGCGGUGAAAUGCGUAGAUAUCGGGGAGGAACACCUGCGGUGUAGACGGCUUACUGGACCAUAACUGACGCUGAGGCACGAAAGCGUGGGUAGCAAACAGG
rnacentral:rRNA from 1 species